rnacentral:rRNA from 1 species
GAUGAAAGCUCGCGGCGGGCUUAACACAUGCAUGUCGAACUCACGCACUUUAAAAGUUUGGUCUUUAACCAAGUGGGUGGCGGACGGGUGAGUAACCCUUGCGUAACCUGCCCAUUAUAGGGGGAUAACAUUCAGAAACGGAUGCUUUUACGACGAGGUUUCCGGGAUCCCAUGAUUCUUGAAGGAAAGGUGGGUCCAGCUACCACUAAUGGAUGGACCCGCGGCGUACUCCCUACCUGGCGAGGUAAUGGCUCACCAAGGGGCUAUUGCCAACAUGGACCUGAGGGGGUGAUCGGCCCCGCUUAGACAGAAACGCGGCCCCACCUCCUACGGGAGGCAUCCGUAGGGAAUCUUCCUCUUCGAAAUAAGGUCUGACGGACCAACGCCGCGUCAUCGCAGCACGUCUUUUGUCUGCAGAACUCUAUUGUGCAAUCAGAACAAGGAUGAAAGUAACUGCUCUUUCCUGGACGUUAUUUAACCAGCAAGCCACGGCUCACUACUUGACGGCGGCAGCGAUAAUAGAUAUGAGGCUUGGGUUGUGGGGAUUUUUUGGGCGGGUGUCAAGCACAUGCGGUGCGUUCCAUCUACUGUGGGUCCCAUCCGCUCUGCGAAGAAUGGUCGUAUUUAUCUGUCUGCGAGAUAGGUCACGUUGAUGUAGAUGGGCGCAUAGUGCCGUGCAUCUACCAGUUUAAAGGGGACAACGACAGUAUCGGCCUCAGGAAGAUCGCACUCCAGCCAGCUUUCCGGCACGCUUCUGGUGCCGGAUACCACGCAUGCGCACUUCGGCAGUCCAGCUGCUCAUCUGUUGGGAGGGGCGAUCGAUGCGAGCCACUACGGCCAGUGAAUCCGUAAUCAUGGUCAUACCUGUCUCCCGCCAGUUUAUCGUUGACGUGAGCUCAGUACCAAUACUUAUAGCACGAUUUCGCUGGCAUAUCAUGGUAGUCACACGUUCGACGCAGCGGGGGCUCGUUUUGACUGUGAUCAAUAGAGAGGUUACCUCACUCCUGUAGUAAGCAAUCAAUCUAUGACAUG